UACGUAGGUGUCGAGCGUUAUCCGGAUUUACUGGGCGUAAAGGGCACGCAGGCGGCUGCUCAAGUCUGACGUGAAAACUCCCGGCUUAACCGGGAGAGGCCGUUGGAAACUGAGGUGCUUGAGGCAAGUAGAGGGAUGCGGAAUUUCCGGUGUAGUGGUGGAAUGCGUAGAUAUCGGGAAGAACACCAGUGGCGAAAGCGGCAUCCUGGCCUUGAACUGACGCUGAGGUGCGAAAGCGAGGGUAGCGAACGGGAUUAGAUACCCCGGUAGUCCACGCUGUAAACGAUGUGAACUAGGUGUAGGUGGUAUUGACCCCAUCUGUGCCAAAGCUAACGCGAUAAGUUCACCGCCUGGGGAGUACGGCCGCAAGGCUA
rnacentral:rRNA from 1 species